CCUUCCAGCCCGGCCCCUCCCCUGUCCUCCGGGGGCGUGGGCUGGGCUGAGCUAGGCCUUCCCGAGUCGCCCCGCGGGUGGGCGGCGAGAAGCGGAGAUGAGCGGCGCGGAGCCGGCCGCGGGGGAGGCGGGAGCCUCGCUGGAGCCCCCCGGCCCGCGGCCCCUCGCGCCAGGCUCUAAUGAUGCAUCUCCAGAUGAAGGACUAGUUGAAGAUCUGUGUCUUGUAGACGAGAGAGCUGUGGAGCAGCUAACCGAAGGAUUGAUUUCUCAUUAUUUGCCUGAUCUUCAGCAAUCGAAGCAAGCUCUACAAGAGCUCACACAGAACCAAGCAGUGUUAUUAGACACAUUAGAACAAGAAAUCUCAAAAUUCAAGGAAUGUAAUUCCAUUCUUGAUAUCAACACCUUGUUUUUAGAAGCCAAACAUUAUCACAGCAAGUUAGUGAACAUUAGAAAAGAGAUGCUGAUGCUCCAUGAAAAGACUUCAAAGUUGAAAAAGAGAGCACUUAAACUUCAGCAAAAGAGGCAAAAGGAGGAACUGGAACGAGAACAGCAACGUGAGAGGGAAUUUGAAAGAGAGAAACAGUUGACAGCAAAGCCGGCUAAAAGGACAUGAAAGCAGAACAUGCAUCAGUUUGUCUAAACUAAUCACUUUUAAAUUUUCUGGACUUGUUAAAACAGACUUAAACUGAUAAUUCAUCAAUAAAUGGUUUCAGCUAUAAGAGUGGGAGAGAGUACUGCUGAACUGGCAAGCGUAGAUUAUUUUUAAAUGUAAAUAAAACUAUAUUCAUUGAUACUAGUAGAUUCAGUAGAAUGUAACUUUAGAUUCAUGUGUGAAGAUCCAACACAUUCACAUAACUCGCACAAAAGCUAGCUGAUAUUCUAAGCAAGGGAAGUGUUUUAUUGUUCAAAAAACAAAAACAAAGCACUGCAAUUUUGUUUUUGGCUAUACAGGAUAGAGAAGUUCAAACAUUGAAAUCAUUGUUUAAACCAGGGCUAUCAAACUCCAGCCCAUGUAUCCAACCAGUGGAUCUAGCACAUGAGUCCCUGAGCAGCUAGAGCAGGUGCUGCAUGUGACAUGGUUCCAUUUUCAUGGAAGAUGCCUGUGCAUGAUUUAUCAUGGAGAAGUUGCUGCAUGUCAGCUUCCAUACGAUUCUUGAUAGAACAGGACCUUGAUCCAAUGGCAAGGAGGCCAAGACAGUUGGAGACCUAAUUCCACUGCAACCUUUGUCCACCUUCACAGUCAUUGUGAUUCUAACAACUUCUGCCUGCUCCACUGUUGAGGACUGGCUCAGGGUUGGACAGGCUUAUUAUAACAGCAGCCUAUACUCCCUAUGUCACAGCACUGUCAAAGGAUAUAUCUGGCUUUUCAGGAAGCAAACCAUUGCCAUUUGCUGUCCCCACCACGUUCUGGUAGUGCUGCUGCUGCUUAGUCUGCAACUGCUUAUUCAGGUGUUCAAAAAUUGCAACAUCAUAUCUGAAACCAGGCUCAUGGUUUAUCAAACAGUUGUGAUCCACACCUUACUGUACAGAACUGAGACAUGGACAGCAAGCAUACAGGAGACAUCUCAAGUUACUGAAGAAGUACCAUCAAAGUUUCCUAUGGAAGGUCCUUCAAAUCCAGUGGGAAGACAGAUGCAUCAACAUUAGCGUCCUUUCACAAGCAAGCCCCACAAGCAUUGAGGUAAUGAUCAUUCAAGCAGCAAUUUCACUAGGCUGGACACAACACCGGGAUGCCCAUCUCCAGAAGCAAGUUUUAUUCUCCCAGCUCAGUCAAGGUGCGUGCUCAAAAGAAGGGCAGAGGAAGUGCUUCAAGGAUAUCCUCAACUUUAAAAAACGUAACCUCAACAUUGACUCAUGGGAUACUAUCACCCAGGACCGCCCCAAGUGGAAGAAAAGUCUGCUGCAAGGAUCUAGUACUUCAAAGCCUUAUGAUGACAACAGGAGACAAAAAAGUGGGUGUGGCAGAAGCAGUGUAUUGGGAACCAAAUCAAGAAUCCAGAGCCACCCACCCCACUUGGAAACACAUGCCCAAGUUACAGCAGAGUCUGUCAAUCCCAGAUCAGCCUCAUUGGUAAUCUUUGGACCCACAGAUAAAGCAAUUUUGAAAGAUGAUCAUCCUUGUGGAUCCCAGAGCAGGUGCUGCCUGCAGUUUGGAUUCUGAGCCAGUUGGACUGGGCACUGCAUGUAAUGUGGAUCUCAGUGUGACUAAGAUAGGUGCCAUAUUCUCCAUGAAUCCUAGACUAACUGGAAUGAACAGUGGGUAUCCUGGAACAAACUGUGUCACGUGGGGCCGGUCUGCAUACAAUGUGUUCAUUCUUCUAGGUCUACUCAGAUCCAGGGGCAGCACCAGGGACCAGAUAAUAGUGCUCCAUGGGCUAUAACUUUGUCACACCCAUCUUAAACAAUUUGUGUGGAAUCAUUUUGGAUUAAUUUGUCAUCCAUUGAAGAAGGCUAUUCUGAAAGUAGUUUACGGUAGUACCUGUAGACAAAAGUAAAAAUGUGGUAGCAUUUACUGCUUUUUUGGGAAAUGAGAUGGGGUACUUUCUAUCCAAAUGAUGACAAUUAAAAAAAAUUGCUGUGGCAAGUAGGACAGUAUAUUGAGGAGACUUUGGCUGUAAAAUUUGAUGUUCUGGUUGAUUUGUAUUGAAAUAAUAAAUACAUAAGCUGUUGGUCGGUCA